rnacentral:lncRNA from 1 species
UCGCCUCAAUGGAACGUUGUGCUGGCGAGCGGCUCUGUGACGUCACCGCCCCCCGCCGCCGCCGUCGCCGCCGCCGCCGCCGGCCGCAGCCCGGGGCAGAACGCGGAGCUCGCACUGAGUGCAGCGGGACGGGGAGCGGGGUCAGCGGGGACGGGGAGCAGAGAGCGUUGGACGGCGUGGAAAUGGGCAAGUGACCCUGACACCUUCCCGUGUGUCCCAGCUGCAGGCACAGCCUGAGUUACCCGGUUAAUUCUGCAGCCAACCAAAAAUGCAAGUGGUCUCCAAUGUUCAGAAGAAAAGAUUGGGUCACUGCAUCUGCUCCCCUCCUCCUAAAGCCAUCAUUUCACACCAGCCUGCCUAUUGUCAUCAAGAUUCAUUGUAGCCUUGGUAUGCAGCCAAAAAGUCUGUGUCAGACACUCAGCCGGGCACUCGGUCAGAGACACGACCUGCACCAAAAUACUUUGAUUCUGCCAUUGUUGAGAAGCAGAGGAAUUGGAGAAAAAGCAGAGAAAAGAAUCUCUUGCUCCAGCAGCUGCAAUCCUGCAAUCAACCCUUGUGCAGAAGAAAGACACUUGCUGCAAAACAAGAAUGAUGUCUGUGGCUGCAACCUGCAGGCAGCCCGAGAGCUGUGGUUGCGCCCAGGACUGGGCUUUAGCCUGCAGAAUGUUUCUGUUUGCCCACUUGCAGCAGUUGUAUAUAAAGCACA